UACGGAGGGUGCAAGCGUUAUCCGGAUUCACUGGGUUUAAAGGGUGCGUAGGUGGGCAGGUAAGUCAGUGGUGAAAUCUCCGAGCUUAACCCGGAAACUGCCAUUGAUACUAUCUGUCUUGAAUACCGUGGAGGUGAGCGGAAUAUGUCAUGUAGCGGUGAAAUGCUUAGAUAUGACAUAGAACACCAAUUGCGAAGGCAGCUCACUACACGAAUAUUGACACUGAGGCACGAAAGUGUGGGGAUCAAACAGG
rnacentral:rRNA from 1 species